CACUUGUGCAACUUCCACAUAAGAUCAAUAAGAAAACCACAUUCCUGCUGGACUUCAUAAAAUCUCAGGAAUGUCUCCUUUGGAAGGGUCGAAACUCUGCUGGGAAAAGACAGGAUAGGCGGUUACUUUAGGGUUUUUUUAUUCUGCUGUUACUCUGUGGGAGUGCAGCAUAAAGGGUGUUAGUUUGGUGACUGAAGCUCUGCAGAUGGAAAGAGUUCUUCCUCCUAUCCAAAUGCAAAACCUUCUUCAGCCGAGGCAGGUUUAACUGAGGCUCAUCCUUCUGGACCUGCUGACAUCUGGGACUGACAUUGUGCCCUGCUGUACAUGGGGAUAAGAGAUGGUGCCUUCUCUGGGGUUGGAACCAAGAGAGUUGGUGGUACCUGGUCAUGGUGCUGCAAGACAUACACGAAGUCCUUUCCCCUUUGGAGAUGACAUGGAUGGGAAAUGGCUCAUUGUAGCAACAGGAGACAACAACAAUUGCAUCACAGUAAAGCAAACAUCAAAGCACAGUCCACGCCAAAGAGCUGGGGGAAAAAUUCAUAUGUGACACUCUGACGUGUUGAAGUCCAGCUUGGGAGGGUUUUGGCAACACAGAAAUGAAGAGCAAGCAGUUGCCAUUUCCCAGACCUUGUUUGUCUUGGUGUUUGUGUGAAGCAGCCUGGGCUGAGGACACGAUGGACCUGCAGCCUUUCACAUCCCUGUGCCUGUGACAGCCCUCCAGGGCCACUGCACAGCCAGGCUGCACUGGAUGGAAUUGUUUAAAAAAGCAGCUCUGAAAGACUGAACCAAACUGGAACCUGCCUUUCACUAAGCACUAAUAACCUGUCUGACAGCCCACGUAUAAAAAUUACAGUGCUUAUUGUUGAUGUUUAUUUUCACUUUAAUAAGGAGUUGCUGUAGGUAGCCAGCCUGAUUAAGUAUUUUAACAACUCCCUUCUGAAGGUAAUUAAGUUCUGCAGUGAAAUGUAAGGAAUUUGGCAUCAAAAAACCAUUAAGGCAGAUAUUUUAAAUGAAUAAACAAACAUAACUCUUUCCA
ensembl:lncRNA